GAGGGAUUUAGAUAGACUGGGCACUCAAAUGGCAGAUGAAAUUUAAUGUUGAAAAAUGCAAAGUUAUGCACUUCGGUGUAAAGAAAACACAAGCAAUGUAUACCCUUAAUGGAAGCGUAUUAGGGAUAACAACACACCAAAAGGACUUGGGAAUUGUUAUAGACAACAAACUAUGCAACAAUGUGCAAUGUCAAUCAGCAGUGGCCAAGGCCAGUAAGGUAUUGUCACGCAUGAAAAAGGGCAUUCA